rnacentral:rRNA from 1 species
GACGAACGCUGGCGGCGUGCUUAACACAUGCAAGUCGAACGGAAAGGCCCUGCUUUUGUGGGGUGCUCGAGUGGCGAACGGGUGAGUAACACGUGAGUAACCUGCCCUUGACUUUGGGAUAACUUCAGGAAACUGGGGCUAAUACCGGAUAGGAGCUCCUGCUGCAUGGUGGGGGUUGGAAAGUUUCGGCGGUUGGGGAUGGACUCGCGGCUUAUCAGCUUGUUGGUGGGGUAGUGGCUUACCAAGGCUUUGACGGGUAGCCGGCCUGAGAGGGUGACCGGCCACAUUGGGACUGAGAUACGGCCCAGACUCCUACGGGAGGCAGCAGUGGGGAAGAUUGCACAAUGGGCGGAAGCCUGAUGCAGCAACGCCGCGUGCGGGAUGACGGCAUUCGGGUUGUAAACCGCUUUCGCCUGUGACGAAGCGUGAGUGACGGUAAUGGGUAAAGAAGCACCGGCUAACUACGUG